CGAACGAGUCGCAAGCUCGCGAGAGUAAGCUAAUCUCUUAAAGCCGUUCUCAGUUCGGACUGUAGGCUGCAACUCGCCUACACGAAGUCGGAAUCGCUAGUAAUCGCGGAUCAGCAUGCCGCGGUGAAUACGUUCCCGGGCCUUGUACACACCGCCCGUCACACCAUGGGAGUUUGUAACGCCCAAAGUCGGUGGCCUAACCUUUAUGGAGGGAGCCGCCUAAGGCGGGACAGAUGACUGGGGUGAAGUCGUAACAAGGUAUC
rnacentral:rRNA from 1 species